rnacentral:rRNA from 1 species
CCAAUAGCGUAUAUUAAAGUUGUUGCAGUUAAAAAGCUCGUAGUUGAAUUUCGGGAUCAGUAUACCGGUCGUGCCUCCGGUAUGAACUGGUCAUACUGGUCUCUCCCUUCUGACGAAUCAUGAUGUCAUUAAUUUGAUGUCGUGGGGAAUCAGGACUGUUACUUUGAAAAAAUUAGAGUGUUUAAAGCAGGCUAACGCUUGAAUACAUUAGCAUGGAAUAAUGAAAUAGGACGUUCGAUCCUAUUUUGUUGGUUUCUAGGAUCGACGUAAUGAUUAAUAGGGAUAGUUGGGGGCAUUAGUAUUCAAUUGUCAGAGGUGAAAUUCUUGGAUUUAUUGAAGACUAACUACUGCGAAAGCAUUUGCCAAGGAUGUUUUCAUUAAUCAAGAACGAAAGUUAGGGGAUCGAAGACGAUCAGAUACCGUCGUAGUCUUAACCAUAAACUAUGCCGACUAGGGAUCGGAUGAUGUUAAUUUUUUAAUGACUCAUUCGGCGCCUUACG